AGUGAACGCUGGCGGUAGGCCUAACACAUGCAAGUCGAACGGCAGCACAGGAGAGCUUGCUCUCUGGGUGGCGAGUGGCGGACGGGUGAGGAAUACAUCGGAAUCUACUCUGUCGUGGGGGAUAACGUAGGGAAACUUACGCUAAUACCGCAUACGACCUACGGGUGAAAGCAGGGGAUCUUCGGACCUUGCGCGAUUGAAUGAGCCGAUGUCGGAUUAGCUAGUUGGCGGGGUAAAGGCCCACCAAGGCGACGAUCCGUAGCUGGUCUGAGAGGAUGAUCAGCCACACUGGAACUGAGACACGGUCCAGACUCCUACGGGAGGCAGCAGUGGGGAAUAUUGGACAAUGGGCGCAAGCCUGAUCCAGCCAUACCGCGUGGGUGAAGAAGGCCUUCGGGUUGUAAAGCCCUUUUGUUGGGAAAGAAAUCCAGCUGGCUAAUACCCGGUUGGGAUGACGGUACCCAAAGAAUAAGCACCGGCUAACUUCGUGCCAGCAGCCGCCGUAACAC
rnacentral:rRNA from 1 species